GUCAGUAACUCAUGGCUAAAGCCACUGAGCUUGUAAGAGCAAUUGAAGCAAGCUGUACUGACCAGCCUAAGACUGUAAAGGUCUACGUUUUUGGAGUCACGACACCCUAGAAUGCGUAGCUAGUUCCAGGCUCUGUCACUUGUAAUUAAACAGUUCUAAAGUCACUGGAACAGUGUUACAAGUCUAAAAAGCUCUUAAAACAUUGGCGAAGCUAACUUUAC
rfam:Planktothrix serta PCC 8927 isolate BBR_PRJEB10992 genome assembly, scaffold: BBR_A_PL8927_scaffold42